GGGGUUGUGGCUCAGUGGCAGAGCACUUGUCUAGCAUGUAUGAGGCACUGAGUUCUAUUCUCAACAACCA
rnacentral:tRNA from 1 species